rnacentral:rRNA from 1 species
GACGAACGCUGGCGGCGUGCUUAACACAUGCAAGUCGAACGGAAAGGCCCUGCUUUUGUGGGGUGCUCGAGUGGCGAACGGGUGAGUAACACGUGAGUAACCUGCCCUUGACUUUGGGAUAACUUCAGGAAACUGGGGCUAAUACCGGAUAGGAGCUCCUGCUGCAUGGUGGGGGUUGGAAAGUUUCGGCGGUUGGGGAUGGACUCGCGGCUUAUCAGCUUGUUGGUGGGGUAGUGGCUUACCAAGGCUUUGACGGGUAGCCGGCCUGAGAGGGUGACCGGCCACCUUGGGACUGCGAUACGGCCCAGACUGCUACGGGAGGCAGUAGUGGGGAAUAUUGCACAACGGGCGGGAGCCUGAUGCAGCAACGCCGCGUGCGGGAUGACGGCCUUCGGGUUGUAAACCGCUUUCGCCUGUGACGAAGCGUGAGUGACGGUAAUGGGUAAAGAAGCACCGGCUAACUACGUG